rnacentral:rRNA from 1 species
GAUGAACGCUGGCGGCGUGCCUAAUACAUGCAAGUCGAGCGAACAGACGAGGAGCUUGCUCCUCUGACGUUAGCGGCGGACGGGUGAGUAACACGUGGAUAACCUACCUAUAAGACUGGGAUAACUUCGGGAAACCGGAGCUAAUACCGGAUAAUAUAUUGAACCGCAUGGUUCAAUAGUGAAAGACGGUUUUGCUGUCACUUAUAGAUGGAUCCGCGCCGCAUUAGCUAGUUGGUAAGGUAACGGCUUACCAAGGCAACGAUGCGUAGCCGACCUGAGAGGGUGAUCGGCCACACUGGAACUGAGACACGGUCCAGACUCCUACGGGAGGCAGCAGUAGGGAAUCUUCCGCAAUGGGCGAAAGCCUGACGGAGCAACGCCGCGUGAGUGAUGAAGGUCUGCGGAUCGUAAAACUCUGUUAUUAGGGAAGAACAAAUGUGUAAGUAACUAUGCACGUCUUGACGGCACCUAAUCAGAAAGCCACGGCUAACUACGU